GUAAUGGUGUCUUUAGACACCACCUCUUAUUGGAAUUCAUUAUUCUU
rfam:Picea glauca, whole genome shotgun sequence.